rnacentral:RNase_P_RNA from 1 species
CGAGCCGGGCGGACGGCCGCGUGGGGUUCCACCAGGAACCUCCCGAGGAACGUCCGGGCUCCACAGGGCAAGGUGGUGGCUAACGGCCACCCGGGGUGACCCGCGGGACAGUGCCACAGAAAACAGACCGCCGGAGGCUUCGGCCCCCGGUAAGGGUGAAACGGUGGUGUAAGAGACCACCAGCGCCUGAGGUGACUCAGGCGGCUAGGUAAACCCCACCUGGAGCAAGGUCAAGAGGAGCCGCCUCUUCGGAGGCGACUCUGCGCGGACGACCGAGGGCUGCCCGCCCGAUGUCCGCGGGUAGACCGCACGAGGCCGGUGGCAACGCCGGCCCUAGAUGGAUGGCCGUCACCCCGACGACCGCGAGGUCCCGGGGUACAGAACCCGGCGUACAGCCCGACUCGUCUG